GACGAACGCUGGCGGCGUGCUUAACACAUGCAAGUCGAACGGAAAGGCCCUGCUUUUGUGGGGUGCUCGAGUGGCGAACGGGUGAGUAACACGUGAGUAACCUGCCCUUGACUUUGGGAUAUCUUCAGGAAACUGGGGCUAAUACCGGAUAGGAGCUCCUGCUGCAUGGUGGGGGUUGGAAAGUUUCGGCGGUUGGGGAUGGACUCGCGGCUUAUCAGCUUGUUGGUGGGGUAGUGGCUUACCAAGGCUUUGACGGGUAGCCGGCCUGAGAGGGUGACCGGCCACAUUGGGACUGAGAUACGGCCCAGACUCCUACGGGAGGCAGCAGUGGGGAAUAUUGCACAAUGGGCGGAAGCCUGAUGCAGCAACGCCGUGUGCGGGAUGACGGCCUUCGGGUUGUAAACCGCUUUCGCCUGUGACGAAGCGUGAGUGACGGUAAUGGGUAAAGAAGCACCGGCUAACUACGUG
rnacentral:rRNA from 1 species